UACGAAGGGGGCUAGCGUUGCUCGGAAUCACUGGGCGUAAAGGGUGCGUAGGCGGGUCUUUAAGUCAGGGGUGAAAUCCUGGAGCUCAACUCCAGAACUGCCUUUGAUACUGAGGAUCUUGAGUUCGGGAGAGGUGAGUGGAACUGCGAGUGUAGAGGUGAAAUUCGUAGAUAUUCGCAAGAACACCAGUGGCGAAGGCGGCUCACUGGCCCGAUACUGACGCUGAGGCGCGAAAGCGUGGGAGCAACAGG
rnacentral:rRNA from 1 species